CCUACGGGGGCUGCAGUGGGGAAUAUUGGACAAUGGGGGCAACCCUGAUCCAGCCAUGCCGCGUGUGUGAAGAAGGCCCUCGGGUUGUAAAGCACUUUCAGUGAGGAAGAACGCCUGGUGGUUAAUACCCAUCAGGAAAGACAUCACUCACAGAAGAAGCACCGGCUAACUCCGUGCCAGCAGCCGCGGUAAUACGGAGGGUGCGAGCGUUAAUCGGAAUUACUGGGCGUAAAGCGCGCGUAGGUGGCUUGAUAAGCCGGUUGUGAAAGCCCCGGGCUCAACCUGGGAACGGCAUCCGGAACUGUCAAGCUAGAGUGCAGGAGAGGAAGGUAGAAUUCCCGGUGUAGCGGUGAAAUGCGUAGAGAUCGGGAGGAAUACCAGUGGCGAAGGCGGCCUUCUGGACUGACACUGACACUGAGGUGCGAAAGCGUGGGUAGCAAACAGGAUUAGAUACCCUGGUAGUC
rnacentral:rRNA from 1 species